rnacentral:tRNA from 1 species
UGGGUGUAGCUCAGUGGUAAGAGCAUUUGCCUAGCAUGCACAAGGCCCUGGGUUUGAUCCCCAGCACUGCAA